AUUUAGUUUGAGACAAUCCAGCGUCAAAGGUUGUCGUGUGAUCCAGUAAAAUCGUACAAAUAAAACAUAAAAAAGUAAUAUUAACAAGAAAUAAAAUCAAAAUCGAAUCAAAAAGCAGAAAAAAAUUUAAAUUGAAUUUUUAGACCAAGUGUAAGCUAUUCCAAAUUUGACUUCAAGCUAACUUUUUACCAAAAGUGUCCUGUUAAAUGAUUAGCCACCAUUUCAGAUGGCUUCAAAAAUUGGCCUACAUUUGGACUAGGACUUGGAUCAAUCGUGAUCAGCUUUACUUUCCUAUAAUGUUGUUCAUAUACCCAAACUCGAAGGAGUUUCACAUUAAGAAGAGCAGCAGACGCGGAAUAAUUUGUUCGAACCCCAUGAAAUUCAUUUUACAAAUGCAUUUCUUGCAGUUCGAAAAUCUUUCUCCGCCAGGUGUUGAUUUUUGAAAUGUGAAGCUCAUUCGAUUUUGAAUAUAUAAGCAACAUUCCUUGAUAUGUAAGAGCAACGAAGUGCGUCGAAGAAGCUGGAUUUAUUCUAUUGAUUCCAUAAAUCCUGAAAUACGGGUUUAAUAAUCAGGAAGUUCAAAUCACAUGGCAGAUAUACAUAUAAUACAUCUAAAAAUUGGCUUGCUUGCCAUGCAACAGUCUUAUAUUGAGAAGAUCCGGAACUUUCGGUCUUAUGGUGGUCCCUAAACAAACUCGAAGAACUUGAAACCUUAAUAUAAGAAGCAGAGAACACACCGGGUUUGAUUUCUAGGAAGUUGCGCAUAGCCGAUUUUGAUUACACGCUGUGAACGGAAUGAACACAGCCGAAAACCAGGAAAAAUAAAUCGGCAUCAUCUCAGAAAAAUAAUCAACAAAAUCCCGAAAUUCUAAACGUCCAAUUAUCAAAUUCCUUGAAAGUAUAUGCAUACCAGGCUUUCAAUUAAUAAAGUAUAAAUUUAAAAAGCAAUGUGAAUGGAAUAUCAGGAGAAAAUCCUAAUACAAAUAUUUAUAGCAGGUCU